CCUUUGACGUUAGCGGCGGACGGGUGAGUAACACGUGGGUAACCUACCUAUAAGACUGGGAUAACUUCGGGAAACCGGAGCUAAUACCGGAUAAUAUUUCGAGCCGCAUGGUUCGAUAGUGAAAGGUGGUUUUGCUAUCACUUAUAGAUGGACCCGCGCCGUAUUAGCUAGUUGGUAAGGUAACGGCUUACCAAGGCGACGAUACGUAGCCGACCUGAGAGGGUGAUCGGCCACACUGGAACUGAGACACGGUCCAGACUCCGUACGGGAGGCAGCAGGCG
rnacentral:rRNA from 1 species